GACGAUGGACUUGAUCAAGGCUGACGACGCAUUAGAGAAAGAAUAUGCCGAAUUAAAAGCCCAAGGCCCUCCAAUAACCGAAACCGCCAAGAGACAAUUCAUCGAAGAAUACCGAACAUCCCUAUAAUUGACCGAAGAAUUAUUAAUGAAACAAUUCGACGGCGACCACUGGAGCGCAAGAUGAAGGAUAAAGAUAAUAUGCAAGCAGCUUGGCCUCGACCCCAACAUCUUUGACUCCUCAGGUGAUGAAGAAGACGCC
rnacentral:lncRNA from 1 species